GGGAACGUGACCAGAGAGAAUAUGGGCUUGCCUUUUAAGCAAGACGACGUGGGUUAAAGUCCCACCGUUCCCACCA
rnacentral:tRNA from 1 species